rnacentral:piRNA from 1 species
UAAGUAAGGACCAGUUUCUUUGGCUACUG